AAGGGUUUCGGCUCGUAAAACUCUGUUGUUAAAGAAGAACAUAUCUGAGAGUAACUGUUCAGGUAUUGACGGUAUUUAACCAGAAAGCCACGGCUAACUACGUGCCAGCAGCCGCGGUAAUACGUAGGUGGCAAGCGUUGUCCGGAUUUAUUGGGCGUAAAGCGAGCGCAGGCGGUUUUUUAAGUCUGAUGUGAAAGCCUUCGGCUCAACCGAAGAAGUGCAUCGGAAACUGGGAAACUUGAGUGCAGAAGAGGACAGUGGAACUCCAUGUGUAGCGGUGAAAUGCGUAGAUAUAUGGAAGAACACCAGUGGCGAAGGCGGCUGUCUGGUCUGUAACUGACGCUGAGGCUCGAAAGUAUGGGUAGCAAACAGGAUUAGAUACCCUGGUAGUCCAUACCGUAAACGAUGAAUGCUAAGUGUUGGAGGGUUUCCGCCCUUCAGUGCUGCAGCUAACGCAUUAAGCAUUCCGCCUGGGGAGUACGGCCGCAAGGCUGAAACUCAAAGGAAUUGACGGGGGCCCGCACAAGCGGUGGAGCAUGUGGUUUAAUUCGAAGCUACGCGAAGAACCUUACCAGGUCUUGACAUACUAUGCAAAUCUAAGAGAUUAGACGUUCCCUUCGGGGACAUGGAUACAGGUGGUGCAUGGUUGUCGUCAGCUCGUGUCGUGAGAUGUUGGGUUAAGUCCCGCAACGAGCGCAACCCUUAUUAUCAGUUGCCAGCAUUAAGUUGGGCACUCUGGUGAGACUGCCGGUGACAAACCGGAGGAAGGUGGGGAUGACGUCAAAUCAUCAUGCCCCUUAUGACCUGGGCUACACACGUGCUACAAUGGAUGGUACAACGAGUUGCGAACUCGCGAGAGUAAGCUAAUCUCUUAAAGCCAUUCUCAGUUCGGAUUGUAGGCUGCAACUCGCCUACAUGAAGUCGGAAUCGCUAGUAAUCGCGGAUCAGCAUGCCGCGGUGAAUACGUUCCCGGGCCUUGUACACACCGCCCGUCACACCAUGAGAGUUUGUAACAUCCAAAGUCGGUGGGGUAACCUAAUAGGAACCAGCCGACGCAGUAGGGGGUUCUCGUCUC
rnacentral:rRNA from 1 species